GUAGCCUAGUGGUUCGAGCGUUGGACUAGUAACCAGCAGGUAGCCUAGUGGUUAGAGCGUUGGACUAGUAACCAGCAGGUAGCCUAGUGGUUAGAGCGUUGGACUAGUAACCAGCAGGUAGCCUAGUGGUUAGAGCGUUGGACUAGUAACCAGCAGGUAGCCUAGUGGUUAGAGCGUUGGGCUAGUAACCAGCAGGUAGCCUAGUGGUUAGAGCGUUGGACUAGUAACCAGCAGGUAGCCUAGUGGUUAGAGCGUUGGACUAGUAACCAGCAGGUAGCCUAGUGGUCAGAGCGUUGGACUAGUAACCAGCAGGUAGCCUAGUGGUCAGAGCGUUGGACUAGUAACCAGCAGGUAGCCUAGUGGUUAGAGCGUUGGACUAGUAACCAGCAGGUAGCCUAGUGGUUAGAGCGUUGGACUAGUAACCAGCAGGUAGACUAGUGGUUAGAGCGUUGGACUAGUAACCAGCAGGUAGCCUAGUGGUUAGAGCGUUGGACUAGUAACCAGCAGGUAGCCUAGUGGUUAGAGCGUUGGACUAGUAACCAGCAGGUAGCCUAGUGGUCAGAGCGUUGGACUAGUAACCAGCAGGUAGCCUAGUGGUUAGAGCGUUGGACUAGUAACCAGCAGGUAGCCUAGUGGUCAGAGCGUUGGACUAGUAACCAGCAGGUAGACUAGUGGUUAGAGCGUUGGACUAGUAACCAGCAGGUAGCCUAGUGGUCAGAGCGUUGGACUAGUAACCAGCAGGUAGCCUAGUGGUCAGAGCGUUGGACUAGUAACCAGCAGGUAGCCUAGUGGUUAGAGCGUUGGACUAGUAACCAGCAGGUAGCCUAGUGGUUAGAGCGUUGGACUAGUAACCAGCAGGUAGCCUAGUGGUUAGAGCGUUGGACUAGUAACCAGCAGGUAGCCUAGUGGUUAGAGCGUUGGACUAGUAACCAGCAGGUAGCCUAGUGGUUAGAGCGUUGGACUAGUAACCAGCAGGUAGCCUAGUGGUUAGAGCGUUGGACUAGUAACCAGCAGGUAGCCUAGUGGUUAGAGUGUUGGACUAGUAACCAGCAGGUAGCCUAGUGGUUAGAGCGUUGGACUAGUAACCAGCAGGUAGCCUAGUGGUUAGAGCGUUGGACUAGUAACCAGCAGGUAGCCUAGUGGUUAGAGCGUUGGACUAGUAACCAGCAGGUAGCCUAGUGGUUAGAGCGUUGGACUAGUAACCAGCAGGUAGCCUAGUGGUUAGAGCGUUGGACUAGUAACCAGCAGGUAGCCUAGUGGUUAGAGCGUUGGACUAGUAACCAGCAGGUAGCCUAGUGGUUAGAGCGUUGGACUAGUAACCAGCAGGUAGCCUAGUGGUUAGAGCGUUGGACUAGUAACCAGCAGGUAGCCUAGUGGUUAGAGCGUUGGACUAGUAACCAGCAGGUAGCCUAGUGGUUAGAGCGUUGGACUAGUAACCAGCAGGUAGACUAGUGGUUAGAGCGUUGGACUAGUAACCAGCAGGUAGACUAGUGGUUAGAGCGUUGGACUAGUAACCA